CCCAGGGCUGGGGGCUCGGGGGGAAGGGCGGAGGCGUUCGACUCGGGGCUGACCACCCCAACUCUGCACCUUACGUCCUCCUUAUCUGUGCAAUGGGAGCGGUCGUUCCUGCCUCACUGCGUUGUGGCGUUAUUUUAAAGGGGCUUUCGAAGGGAUCGAAAGUAAAAAGCCAGCAUAGGAACUUCAAUAUGCUUUUAAAAUACUUUGGAUACUUAUCGAGCGCCUACUAGAUGCGCCGCCCUAGCGCAGAAGGCUGGAAUGGGCUGAAAGGGGAAAACGAAACGUCACCCACAGUUUAGGUCUUCCUGGGCAUCUGCGCGGGACACCCUGAAGCUAAGAUUUCUCCUCCACUGCUCUGUCCUUAUGAGGGGCAGUGUGGCAUCGUGACAGAGGUAGGCCUUUGGAAUCAAGUAGAACCUGCAUUCAGUUCUGGUAAGUUACUUAAAUUCUGGGGACUCUAGACAUUUUCUUUGUGAAAAAAAGAAUUUCCUUUGUAAUUGGUAUGUUAGGCCCCCAGGACCGCCCUCAGGUUCACGAUUUGCUAGAAAGACUCACGCACCUCAGAAAAGCUGUUACACUUGUGGUUACAGUUUAUUACAGCAAAAGAGUAAUGCUUAAAAUUGGCAAAGGAAAAAAGUGCAUCAGGCAGAGUCCAGCAGAGACCAGAUGUGUGGUUCUAGUUGUCCUCACCCAGGGGAGUCCUACAGACAGAGCUUGACUCUCCCAGGGAUGAUGUAUGACAGUGCACACAAAUGUUGCUAACCAUCUGAGCCUUGGUGUCCAGGGUUUUUACUGAGGGUCAGUUGUAUAGGCGUGGAGCACCGGCAUGACCGGCCACAGGUAUGUAGUCUUCGCUACCACUCCCCCACCCCAGUCAGUCAGACUAAAAUAGCGUGGCCAAGGCCCCAGACAAAUGAAAACAGGCAUUCAUCCCAAGUCACAUUGUUAGCAUAAGCUAUCUGGUGUGACCCAAGGCCCUGAGUAUAGAAAGACAUCUUAUCAGGCAGGAUAUUCCAAGGGUUUAUAGGUUAUCUCCCAGAGCCAACCAAAGGCCAGUCCUUUCUUUGGACUGUGCAGAGUUUGAGGACUCCAGUCCUGCUGAUUUAAUCCUUUACUGCAUAGUUAGUUUAAAAAAUUACCGUGCAA